rnacentral:rRNA from 1 species
GAUGAACGCUGGCGGCGUGCCUAAUACAUGCAAGUCGAGCGAACAGAUGAGGAGCUUGCUCCUCUGACGUUAGCGGCGGACGGGUGAGUAACACGUGGAUAACCUACCUAUAAGACUGGGAUAACUUCGGGAAACCGGAGCUAAUACCGGAUAAUAUAUUGAACCGCAUGGUUCAAUAGUGAAAGACGGUUUUGCUGUCACUUCUAGAUGGAUCCGCGCCGCAUUAGCUAGUUGGUAAGGUAACGGCUUACCAAGGCAACGAUGCGUAGCCGACCUGAGAGGGUGAUCGGCCACACUGGAACUGAGACACGGUCCAGACUCCUACGGGAGGCAGCAGUAGGGAAUCUUCCGCAAUGGGCGGAAGCCUGACGGAGCAACGCCGCGUGAGUGAUGAAGGUCUUCGGAUCGUAAAACUCUGUUAUUAGGGAAGAACAAAUGUGUAAGUAACUAUGCACGUCUUGACGGUACCUAAUCAGAAAGCCACGGCUAACUACGUG